UACGAAGGGGGCUAGCGUUGCUCGGAAUUACUGGGCGUAAAGCGCACGUAGGCGGAUUGUUAAGUCGGGGGUGAAAUCCUGGAGCUCAACUCCAGAACUGCCUUCGAUACUGGCGAUCUAGAGUCCGGGAGAGGUGAGUGGAACUGCGAGUGUAGAGGUGAAAUUCGUAGAUAUUCGCAAGAACACCAGUGGCGAAGGCGGCUCACUGGACCGGUAUUGACGCUGAGGUGCGAAAGCGUGGGGAGCAAACAGG
rnacentral:rRNA from 1 species